rnacentral:lncRNA from 1 species
AAUCUGUGCUUUUCAAAACUAAAAAGCUCGCAUCUUACCACCGACUUUGUUACUGUGGCUGUGAGUAAACAAGGACCAAGAAAUUGUUGAUCUUUUUUAGAAGAGAAAUAAUUUGUUGCUGGUUGGAUUUCUGAAUAGGGACUCAAGAGAGAGAAGUGGCAAGAAAGCUCCAUUGAUUUUGUGGAGAGAGAAAUCAAAAGGAGACGGAACAUUAAUUAAUGCGUUGAAGAGAGAAGAAGUUAAGGCCGUGUUUGAAAACUUGGUUGCGAAAUGGCAAGUUACACAAACUCAAGGAAAUGUAACAAGAGUUGGGCUGGUUAUAUUGUAUUGACUGUGUAUUUGGUAGCAGAGGUUUAAAGGCGUGAAAAUAGAGUGCAGUUGUUUGCUCCGCUGCACUGGAGCUUCGAUCUCUCUGCUCGGGGGAAGCGACUUCUCUGGCAGCGGGGACUCGACUUCUCUGGCAGCGCGGACUCGAUCCCGCUGGAACCCGAUUCCGCUGGCACCCGAUCCCGCAGCGGGGAAGCGACUUCUCUGGCAGCGCGGACUCGAUCCCGCUGGCACCCGAUCCCUCUGGCCUGGAGCUCCUUGAUUCCGCUGGCCUGGAAGCUCGGCUCCGCUGCACUGGAGACUCGAUUCCGCUGGCGCUCGUCGACUUCUCUGCUACUUCUUCACAAUUUGGGCUAAACAACUCUCAUCAAUGAAAGCAAGCUACAAGAGGUGAACCGUUGUGGUCUUUGGCAGGCGGCGGCGGUGGUUAAAUAAAAUUGGAAUCAAGCGACGGGAAUGGUGAUGUUUGGCAAGCGGUGGUCGUGAAAUAUUGCAGGGAAUUGGGGGUGGUGGUGAACGGUGGUGGCGUUUGGCAGGCGGUGGAGAUGGUGAAUAAAGUUGGAAUCGGCUAUGGGAAUUGGGGGCAUUUGUGAGAAGAAAAAGUUAAACAAGGAACACUGUAGCAUUGAGUGUAAUUAACCGAGAGUGACCCUCGUAUCUGUUUCCCUUGAGUAACAGUAUUUUUAGCUCAGGCCCAAAUCUAAAUACGGGCUUCCCUCUUUAUUUUACUUAUCUAUCAAACAGAAAAAAAAAAACCCCAGCUAAACAUGUAAUGAGGGUUUAACUUACUUAUCAAACUGAGCCUAAGAGGUGAGAGAAAGAGAAAUACUGCUAAAUGGAUGGCAG